rnacentral:lncRNA from 1 species
CUGAACUCGUCAUUUAUGGAGGCCCGCAUAAUGCAACAAAUCAUGGUGCGAUCAUUGAGCCACUUCAAAUAAGUGUCUCAGACCACACCUCGAGCAUUGGGAGCAGGCUCCUUAUGUGUCGGAUCCGUAAUCACAUACAGGAUCCACUCGUGCUCUAGGAUGAUCUUUAACUUUCAAUACCAAUUAUCGAAAUUGAGUCCCGUCAAC